rnacentral:rRNA from 1 species
UUAAGCGACUAAGCGUACACGGUGGAUGCCCUGGCAGUCAGAGGCGAUGAAGGACGUGCUAAUCUGCGAUAAGCGUCGGUAAGGUGAUAUGAACCGUUAUAACCGGCGAUUUCCGAAUGGGGAAACCCAGUGUGAUUCGUCACACUAUCAUUAACUGAAUCCAUAGGUUAAUGAGGCGAACCGGGGGAACUGAAACAUCUAAGUACCCCGAGGAAAAGAAAUCAACCGAGAUUCCCCCAGUAGCGGCGAGCGAACGGGGAGCAGCCCAGAGCCUGAAUCAGUGUGUGUGUUAGUGGAAGCGUCUGGAAAGGCGUGCGAUACAGGGUGACAGCCCCGUACACAAAAAUGCACAUGCUGUGAGCUCGAUGAGUAGGGCGGGACACGUGGUAUCCUGUCUGAAUAUGGGGGGACCAUCCUCCAAGGCUAAAUACUCCUGACUGACCGAUAGUGAACCAGUACCGUGAGGGAAAGGCGAAAAGAACCCCGGCGAGGGGAGUGAAAAAGAACCUGAAACCGUGUACGUACAAGCAGUGGGAGCACNNNNNNNNNNGUGUGACUGCGUACCUUUUGUAUAAUGGGUCAGCGACUUAUAUUCUGUAGCAAGGUUAACCGAAUAGGGGAGCCGAAGGGAAACCGAGUCUUAACUGGGCGUUAAGUUGCAGGGUAUAGACCCGAAACCCGGUGAUCUAGCCAUGGGCAGGUUGAAGGUUGGGUAACACUAACUGGAGGACCGAACCGACUAAUGUUGAAAAAUUAGCGGAUGACUUGUGGCUGGGGGUGAAAGGCCAAUCAAACCGGGAGAUAGCUGGUUCUCCCCGAAAGCUAUUUAGGUAGCGCCUCGUGAAUUCAUCUCCGGGGGUAGAGCACUGUUUCGGCAAGGGGGUCAUCCCGACUUACCAACCCGAUGCAAACUGCGAAUACCGGAGAAUGUUAUCACGGGAGACACACGGCGGGUGCUAACGUCCGUCGUGAAGAGGGAAACAACCCAGACCGCCAGCUAAGGUCCCAAAGUCAUGGUUAAGUGGGAAACGAUGUGGGAAGGCCCAGACAGCCAGGAUGUUGGCUUAGAAGCAGCCAUCAUUUAAAGAAAGCGUAAUAGCUCACUGGUCGAGUCGGCCUGCGCGGAAGAUGUAACGGGGCUAAACCAUGCACCGAAGCUGCGGCAGCGACGCUUAUGCGUUGUUGGGUAGGGGAGCGUUCUGUAAGCCUGCGAAGGUGUGCUGUGAGGCAUGCUGGAGGUAUCAGAAGUGCGAAUGCUGACAUAAGUAACGAUAAAGCGGGUGAAAAGCCCGCUCGCCGGAAGACCAAGGGUUCCUGUCCAACGUUAAUCGGGGCAGGGUGAGUCGACCCCUAAGGCGAGGCCGAAAGGCGUAGUCGAUGGGAAACAGGUUAAUAUUCCUGUACUUGGUGUUACUGCGAAGGGGGGACGGAGAAGGCUAUGUUGGCCGGGCGACGGUUGUCCCGGUUUAAGCGUGUAGGCUGGUUUUCCAGGCAAAUCCGGAAAAUCAAGGCUGAGGCGUGAUGACGAGGCACUACGGUGCUGAAGCAACAAAUGCCCUGCUUCCAGGAAAAGCCUCUAAGCAUCAGGUAACAUCAAAUCGUACCCCAAACCGACACAGGUGGUCAGGUAGAGAAUACCAAGGCGCUUGAGAGAACUCGGGUGAAGGAACUAGGCAAAAUGGUGCCGUAACUUCGGGAGAAGGCACGCUGAUAUGUAGGUGAAGUCCCUCGCGGAUGGAGCUGAAAUCAGUCGAAGAUACCAGCUGGCUGCAACUGUUUAUUAAAAACACAGCACUGUGCAAACACGAAAGUGGACGUAUACGGUGUGACGCCUGCCCGGUGCCGGAAGGUUAAUUGAUGGGGUUAGCGCAAGCGAAGCUCUUGAUCGAAGCCCCGGUAAACGGCGGCCGUAACUAUAACGGUCCUAAGGUAGCGAAAUUCCUUGUCGGGUAAGUUCCGACCUGCACGAAUGGCGUAAUGAUGGCCAGGCUGUCUCCACCCGAGACUCAGUGAAAUUGAACUCGCUGUGAAGAUGCAGUGUACCCGCGGCAAGACGGAAAGACCCCGUGAACCUUUACUAUAGCUUGACACUGAACAUUGAGCCUUGAUGUGUAGGAUAGGUGGGAGGCUUUGAAGUGUGGACGCCAGUCUGCAUGGAGCCGACCUUGAAAUACCACCCUUUAAUGUUUGAUGUUCUAACGUUGACCCGUAAUCCGGGUUGCGGACAGUGUCUGGUGGGUAGUUUGACUGGGGCGGUCUCCUCCUAAAGAGUAACGGAGGAGCACGAAGGUUGGCUAAUCCUGGUCGGACAUCAGGAGGUUAGUGCAAUGGCAUAAGCCAGCUUGACUGCGAGCGUGACGGCGCGAGCAGGUGCGAAAGCAGGUCAUAGUGAUCCGGUGGUUCUGAAUGGAAGGGCCAUCGCUCAACGGAUAAAAGGUACUCCGGGGAUAACAGGCUGAUACCGCCCAAGAGUUCAUAUCGACGGCGGUGUUUGGCACCUCGAUGUCGGCUCAUCACAUCCUGGGGCUGAAGUAGGUCCCAAGGGUAUGGCUGUUCGCCAUUUAAAGUGGUACGCGAGCUGGGUUUAGAACGUCGUGAGACAGUUCGGUCCCUAUCUGCCGUGGGCGCUGGAGAACUGAGGGGGGCUGCUCCUAGUACGAGAGGACCGGAGUGGACGCAUCACUGGUGUUCGGGUUGUCAUGCCAAUGGCACUGCCCGGUAGCUAAAUGCGGAAGAGAUAAGUGCUGAAAGCAUCUAAGCACGAAACUUGCCCCGAGAUGAGUUCUCCCUGACUCCUUGAGAGUCCUGAAGGAACGUUGAAGACGACGACGUUGAUAGGCCGGGUGUGUAAGCGCAGCGAUGCGUUGAGCUAACCGGUACUAAUGAACCGUGAGGCUUAACCUU